CAGUUCUUAUGACUACUGUAGGGUCAUAGCAUCUAUGUCCCCCUCUAGCCCAUAAAAUUCUUUUAGUCAGCUAACCCAGUGUCUGGCCAGGACAUGCUCAAAUAUAUUUUCUUGGAAGAAUAAAUGAUUAAACAAAUAACCCUAAGAGGUAGGUGAUCGUGUUUCUCUCUCUAUUUUAUAGUUGAAGAAACAUUAAAGAUCUUAUCCCAAACCUAGGAUCAGUAGGUAAAACAUACUCAGUUCUAUGACUAAAUCUCACACCAUUUUCCACAGGAAUACCUCAUCAUCUGAUGCUCAGCAAAAUUACUCAUGGGGAGAAAUACCAGUUCUACAAAAGCACCAAGGAGAAAAAGAGGUCUGUUUCAGCAUAUUCAGAAACAUCACGAGUGAAUCAACGACUAAGUACAUCAGAAUGGGAGCUUAGAAGCAAAUUUUAAACUCAUCGGAAAAACAGAAACAACACAUUUCCAGUUGAUCAGCAAGAAUGUAAUGUAAAAUAUAGGCUCCUGGGGAUAGAAUCCCAUAAUCAGUUCUCAAAUUUUUGAUUGCGGUAAAAAAUAAAAUAUAUUCAUGAAGUUAAAUGG
rnacentral:lncRNA from 1 species